rnacentral:rRNA from 1 species
UGAGGAAUAUUGCGCAAUGGGGGCAACCCUGACGCAGCGACGCCGCGUGAGUGAGGAAGGCCUUCGGGUCGUAAAGCUCUGUCAAAGGGAAAGAAAUGUAUAAUGGCUAAUACCUGUUAUAUUUGACGGUACCCUUAAAGGAAGCACCGGCUAACUCCGUGCCAGCAGCCGCGGUAAUACGGAGGGUGCAAGCGUUGUUCGGAAUUACUGGGCGUAAAGGGCGCGUAGGCGGUUUGAUAAGUCAGAUGUGAAAGCCCACGGCUUAACUGUGGAAAGGCAUUGGAUACUGUCAGGCUGGAGUA